UACGUAGGGUGCAAGCGUUGUCCGGAAUUAUUGGGCGUAAAGCGCGCGCAGGCGGUCCUUUAAGUCUGAUGUGAAAGCCCACGGCUCAACCGUGGAGGGUCAUUGGAAACUGGGGGGACUUGAGUACAGAAGAGAAGAGUGGAAUUCCACGUGUAGCGGUGAAAUGCGUAGAGAUGUGGAGGAACACCAGUGGCGAAGGCGACUCUUUGGUCUGUAACUGACGCUGAGGCGCGAAAGCGUGGGGAGCAAACAGG
rnacentral:rRNA from 1 species